rnacentral:tRNA from 1 species
GAAGGUAUAGCUCAAAUGGUAGAGCUUAUGCUUAGCAUGCACGAAGUCCUAGGUUCAAUCCCUAGUACCUCCA